rnacentral:rRNA from 1 species
GGCGGGGUAACGGCCCACCAAGGCUACGAUCGGUAGGGGUUCUGAGAGGAAGGCCCCCCACAAUGGGACUGAGACACGGCCCAUACCCCUACGGGAGGCAGCAGUGAGGAAUAUUGGUCAAUGGGCGGAAGCCUGAACCAGCCAUGCCGCGUGCGGGAAGGAGGCCCUAUGGGCUGUGAACCGCUUUUGCCUGGGGGCAAUAAGGGCGUCGCGCACGUCCGAUGAGAGUACCAGGCGAAUAAGCAUCGGCUAACUCCGUGCCAGCAGCCGCGGUAAUACGGGGGAUGCGAGCGUUAUCCGGAUUCAUUGGGUUUAAAGGGUGCGUAGGCUGUGCGUCAAGUCGGGGGUGAAAUUCCGGUGCUCAACACCGGGGCUGCCCUUGAUACUGUCGCGCUGGAAUGCGGAUGCCGCCGGAGGAAUGAGUGGUGUAGCGGUGAAAUGCUUAGAUAUCACUCAGAACACCGAUUGCGAAGGCAUCUGGCGAAUCCGUAACUGACGCUGAGGCACGAAAGCGUGGGGAUAGAACAGGAUUAGAUACCCUGGUAUUCCACGCCGUAAACGAUGAUGGCUAACCGCCGGCGACACACUGUCGGUGGCCAAG